GUUUGCCUACGGGGGGCAGCAGUGGGUUCUAUUGCCCCCUUUGGGGCCCCCUGAUGCAGCGACGCGGCGUGGGUGAAGAAGCGCCUCGGCGCGUAAAGCCCUGUCAGCAGGGAAGAAAAUGACGGUACCUGAAGAAGAAGCCCCGGCUAACUACGUGCCAGCAGCCGCGGUAAUACGUAGGGGGCAAGCGUUAUCCGGAUUUACUGGGUGUAAAGGGGGCGAAGAAGGCGAUGCAAGCCAGGAGUGAAAGCCCGGGGCCCAACCCCGGGACUGCUCUUGGAACUGCGUGGCUGGAG
rnacentral:rRNA from 1 species